rnacentral:rRNA from 1 species
AGUGAACGCUGGCGGUAGGCCUAACACAUGCAAGUCGAACAGCAGCACAGGAGAGCUUGCUCUCUGGGUGGCGAGUGGCGGACGGGUGAGGAAUACAUCGGAAUCUACUCUGUCGUGGGGGAUAACGUAGGGAAACUUACGCUAAUACCGCAUACGACCUACGGGUGAAAGCAGGGGACCUUCGGGCCUUGCGCGAUUGAAUGAGCCGAUGUCGGAUUAGCUAGUUGGCGGGGUAAAGGCCCACCAAGGCGACGAUCCGUAGCUGGUCUGAGAGGAUGAUCAGCCACACUGGAACUGAGACACGGUCCAGACUCCUACGGGAGGCAGCAGUGGGGAAUAUUGGACAAUGGGCGCAAGCCUGAUCCAGUCAUACCGCGUGGGUGAAGAAGGCCUUCGGGUUGUAAAGCCCUUUUGUUGGGAAAGAAAUCCAGCUGGCUAAUACCCGGUUGGGAUGACGGUACCCAAAGAAUAAGCACCGGCUAACUUCGUGCCAGCAGCCGCAGUAA